UCCCUGGUGGUCUAGUGGUUAGGACACGGCACUUUCACGGCUGCAGCCCAGGUUCAAUCCCUGGUCUGGGAA
rnacentral:tRNA from 1 species